rnacentral:rRNA from 1 species
AUUGAACGCCGGCGGCAGGCCUAACACAUGCAAGUCGAGCGGAUGAAGGGAGCUUGCUCCUGGAUUCAGCGGCGGACGGGUGAGUAAUGCCUAGGAAUCUGCCUGGUAGUGGGGGAUAACGUCCGGAAACGGGCGCUAAUACCGCAUACGUCCUGAGGGAGAAAGUGGGGGAUCUUCGGACCUCACGCUAUCAGAUGAGCCUAGGUCGGAUUAGCUAGUUGGUGGGGUAAAGGCCUACCAAGGCGACGAUCCGUAACUGGUCUGAGAGGAUGAUCAGUCACCCUGGAACUGAGACACGGUCCAGACUCCUACGGGAGGCAGCAGUGGGGAAUAUUGGACAGUGGGCGAAAGCCUGAUCCAGCCAUGCCGCGUGUGUGAAGAAGGUCUUCGGAUUGUAAAGCACUUUAAGUUGGGAGGAAGGGCAGUAAGUUAAUACCUUGCUGUUUUGACGUUACCAACAGAAUAAGCACCGGCUAACUUCGUG